UAACAAUGUCUGUUGUACUGUAUUUUUUUUUUUAAUUAUGAUUUCCUGUUUUUAAUUAAUUGCAGUCACUGAUGAUUGCUUCAAUCCCAAAUAUCAUUGGAUGGUUGGUCGUAUCAUUUUCGAGAGAUAUCUCAUUUCUGUACAUGGGGCGACUGCUGGAAGGUUUUGGUGUUGGUAUUAUUUCCUACACGGCACAGUGGUAGAUACUAAAAUAUGUCACCCAACCGAUUUUGAUUUC